ensembl:lncRNA
GGAAAACCACCUGUGUGCGGCCGGCGCGGCGCGCAGGGGGUGGAGGUGGGGGGUUGCGGCCGGAAGGCGCGGGCCCCAAUCCGGCCGCCCCUCCCUAACCCCGGGCGGAAAGAGGCCGCGCAUUGUCCCGUCGCCGCCGCCGCCGCCGGGGAGGCGGAAGCGGAGGCAGCGGCUCGGCUGGGAGCGGCUUUUCCGAGCGCCCUCGCGGCGCUCUGCGCCCACCGCGGAUAUCUCCGGGGGCACCUGAGGUCGCGGGGUCUCCCCAAGCUAGACGCCCUGCACCCACGGGCCUGCCUGCUGACGCCCCCGCUCUAAUUUGCAUCUUUAGUCACCCGCCUCUUCCCUGGUUUGGAGAAUGUAGGCUUAAAAAAAAAAAAAAAAAGGCGGCUGCUAGGCCCAGGUUGCCAAUUUUGGAGCUUUGCUGCGGUCGGGCCGCCCCUGGAGGAGCGUGCUGGGAGAAGGUGGGGUUGCAACGCUUUUUGGCUCCCUGCGCCUUUUUUGGGCAUCUGGUGGAACAGAACUCGCAUGUUUCACUGGAUACCAUCCGGUUUGAGCUGGAGGAGGCCUGCGCGGGAGAAUGGACCCAGUCCUUUCCAUCCCAACGAUGCUGUGUGAGGCCUAAGAACCCGCCUGGAAUUCCCUAGUCUCAGGAGAAAUCCUCUGAGGAACUGCGCUAAGCAGUGUAAUCCAUCGCGAUUCAGAUGUCAAGAAAAGCACGUGCUGUGACAGACCGGCACCAAAAUCCUUUAAACCAGUUAGAUACAAAAUAUACCCAGCUACCUUUCUAACUUCUCCCUACUGCUUCCCUCUUAAAC